rnacentral:lncRNA from 1 species
CUCUUAUAAAAUCAUACAGGAAACAUUAUCAAACAUAAAAUGAUGUUUGACUUUCUUUAUUCUAAAAACUAAUAAAAAUAGGUGCUAAAAAUUUUCCAAAUGAAAAUAAAUAUUGCUAAACCAAAGAGAAAUGUUAUCUAAGCCCCGUAUAAAAAAUAAAUAAAUCUUGUUCCAAUUGCAUCAAAAAACCCAUUAAGGGCCCUCCAGCACAGGGUUAAUACCAACGAGUUUCCACCUCCAGCUGCUCCUAGAGUGGCCACAGCAUGAGCCAUCUGGUGGGGGACCUAGCCGCCAACAGACACUUCCUGUACAGGGGAGGGGGGAGGGGGCCAGGCAGCCGUUAGACAGCACAACCGAACCCAACACCGGGGCCCAACGGCAGGGGCUUGGGCAGGAGCAAGGUCCGAGGGCUGCCAGGUCCACGCUGCUUUUAUGAGCUGUAACACUCACCGCGAAGAUCUGCAGCUUCACUCCUGAGCCCAGCGAGACCACGAGCCCACCGGGAGGAACAAACAACUCCAGACGCGCUGCCUUAAGAGCUGUAACACUUGCCGUGAAGGUCUGCAGCUUCACUCCUGAGCCAGCGAGACCACGAACCCACCAGAAGGAAGAAACUCCGAACACAUCUCAACAUCAGAACGGACAGACUCCAGACGCACCACCUUAAGAGCUGUAACACUCACCGCGAGGUUCCGCGGCUUCAUUCUUGAAGUCAGUAAGACCAAGAACCCACCAAUUCCGGACACAGUAGCAUUUGGGAAUAAUAAGAAUUGUAGCUGGGCAUGGUGGUACACGCCUGUAGACCCCUAGCAGCUGCCAUCAUCCUCACCAUCCGCAUAUUAUUGAUAUAUUAACUCUUUGAUGGCAACCAUAGCUUAUCCCCCUUAUCUCCCUAUGCCCUACAGCAGGGCAGUGGAAUGGUUAAGAGGCUUUGAAGUCUAAGAGUGCUGGCUUAAAACCCUAAUUUGUCAUUUUGGAUGUGUGGCUUUGGACACUUGGGGCAGGUCACCUAUGUUCUUCAAGCCCUGUAUCCUUAUCUGUCAGAUGAUGAUUUUUUUUUUUUUAGACGAAGUCUCACUCUCUUGCCCGGGCUGGAGUGCAGUGGCAUGAUCUCGGCUUACUGCAAGCUCCACCUCCCGGGUUGACGCCAUUCUCCUGCCUCAGCUUCCUGAGUAGCUGGGACUACAGGCUCCUGCCACCACCCGUGGCUAAUUUUUUUGUAUUUUUAGUAGAGACAGGGUUUCACCAUGUUAGCCAGGAUGGUCUCGAUCUCCUGACCUCGUGAUCUGCCCGCCCCAGCCUCCCAAAGUAUCAGAUGAUUUUAACAACUAUGCUUCCAUGACUUGCUGGGCUAGAUGAUAUGACUGUAAAAUGCCUAACCCAUGGUUUAGCAUCAAGUAAGCAAAUUGUAAAUGGUAGCACUGCUCUGCCUAUGACUAUUUAGUCUUGUGCUUUAAACUCAAAUAUUUGUUGGCCUACUGAAGUCACCACACAGAGAAAGAUGCUUUUCAUUCUCAGUAAAGAACUUUGGGAGAUAACUGGGGCAGGCAGCAAGAGAACAGAUGUCAUAUGUCUAGCAUCAGCAAACUCAUCAGAACUGAUGGGCAGCUCACUUUGCUUAGAACCUGCACCAGCAUACACACGGGGCUGCUUCCCAGUCACACUGCUCCUGGGAAGGUAGGGGGGCUGCUGUUCUGCAAUUAGCGCGGUUCUUUACCUCCUAUUACCGAACUGCCAGAGUUCAUUUGUGUUCAGUUAGGUAGAUGACCAAUUCUUGUUCAUUCCUAUUUUCUUUUGCUCACUAAUGUGUUUAACGUUCACUAACCUACCAAAUGUGAUUUAUUAGCGACUUUUUCUUUGAAGAUGGAGUGGAGGAAUCCUAGCGCUUUCUGCAACAUGCUACUGCUGUUAUGGAACAGUGCAGAUAUGGAAGUGCAUCAGCCGGGGAUGGGGAGAGGCUAGGGCAGUACAUGUGAAUGGAGAGGUAGCCCCACCAGUGUGUUUUCUGAAAUACAGUCCCGCAGAGGGCAGUCUUGGGAAAUUACUGUUCUCACACACUCUUCUUGACCCUACCCCUCCAGCACCUCCCUUGCUAUCCAAGGGUUGGGAUUUUUAAAAAGAAAAACAAAUUUUAAAAAAAGCAGUGUGAAUCUUUUGCCAUCUUGUAAGGGUGAAAAGCCCCCUACCAAGUCGGGAUGAACAUUCAUGCGUGUGCUUGAGGGCUUGGGAAAAAGACAGGGCUUGGCCCCACAGUGCAGGUAGGCCCAGUGAUCCUAUAAUAGGGGCCAGGAGAUGGGAGGUCCCCUGUGGGCAGGAGUUCAAGUAUGUGGUAUUAUAUGACUGGUGCUUGAUGAACCCAGGGAGAGGGCACCAAAAACAAUGGUAUUUAAUUGUAAAAUCUCCACCCCCUGAGGAUAUGUUUUCAGGUCUGGGUGACUAAUUAGACUGGGAAACAAGGGCAGGAACGAUGGCCCUGUGCUUGCUCUGCCCGCUGCCUCUGUGGAUGUGUGGGCUGCUGGCUUCAGUCCUGCUUUUCUUUCUGAUGGUAUUGUUUAUGCUAUGUGUUUUUGCAGGAGGCCUGAGGUGGGCUGGGUUCUCCUCCUAUGGCAGGGCUUCACUCUCCUCCUCCUUCUCUGUUGGGGCUUCACUGUCCCUGGGAUAAGAAUAACAAUGCCAAGGUUUUCAUUCUUGAAAGGAGCAAUUAAGCGUCUCACCCCCUCCUCAUUUUAGAUGGGAACUGUGAGGGUCCCGUCAUUUACCCAGGGUCCCUGUUGAGGAUCUUGUCCUCAUUAGAUGACUUCUUGUGCAGCUUCCAUGCGUGAUUCUUUACUCUUGUGGCACUGAGAGGUUUGUACAUGUCUUUAAGCCAGAGCGGCUUUCUGAAUGAAAAAAGUCCAUCCUAGAAGAUAGAAAGGGAAAUAUUAAUUUUGCAUGUCCUCUGCUUUCCCUGGUCACAGCAAUGAAUCCUCCAAUGUACCUGACUCUCCCUUUGCGAAGAGCAUCUCCGUGGCAGAAAUCUGAAAAUGCCCCUGGGGAGACACAUGCACAAGACAGUUCGUGAGCCACACAUCUCCCCACACCAAGCUCCUCCAUACAAGACCUCGGACUGCAUCACGUAAAUGCUUUUUCAGGGGCAAAAUCUAGAGAAUCUGAAACGAGCUAUCAGCUUCCCAGUUUGCACAAUUCAUCAAGAAAUUAUGCGGGGUCACUGGCACAAAUGAUGAGGCAUCUCCUGGAAGCUUAACUUCUUAUCCAUCCCAUCUCUUGGACAGAUGAUGCCAGUUAAUUACUUUGAAUGCUGGUCUCGAACUCCUG